rnacentral:rRNA from 1 species
UAACGGAAGGCUUCGGCCGGAAGAUAUAUGUUUUGGCGGCGGACGGGUGAGUAACGCGUGAGCAACCUGUCCUUCACAGGGGGAUAAGAUACCGAAAGGUGUUCUAAUACCGCAUGAGACCACAACGUCACAUGGCGAAGGGGUCAAAGGAGCAAUCCGGUGAAGGGUGGGCUCGCGUCCGAUUAGAUAGUUGGUGAGGUAACGGCCCACCAAGUCGACGAUCGGUAGCCGACCUGAGAGGGUGAUCGGCCACAUUGGGACUGAGACACGGCCCAGACUCCUACGGGAGGCAGCAGUGGGGAAUAUUGGGCAAUGGGGGAAACCCUGACCCAGCAACGCCGCGUGGAGGAAGAAGGUCUUCGGAUCGUAAACUCCUGUCCUAAGAGACGAGCAGGAGACGGUAUCUUAGGAGGAAGCCCCGGCUAACUACGUGCCAGCAGCCGCGGUAAUACGUAGGGGGCAAGCGUUGUCCGGAAUGAUUGGGCGUAAAGGGCGCGUAGGCGGCCUUUCAAGUCUGAAGUGAAAUUCCCGUUUUUAAGAUGGGAACUGCUUUGGAAACUGUAAGGCUUGAGUGCAGGAGAGGUCAGUGGAAUUCCCAGUGUAGCGGUGAAAUGCGUAGAUAUUAGGAGGAACACCAGUGGCGAAGGCGGCUUUCUGGACUGUAACUGACGCUGAGGCUCGAAAGCCAGGGGAGCGAACGGGAUUAGAUACCCCGG